UUCUUAUCGAGAGUGGUGGAGGGACUGGCCCGAUGAAACCCGGCAGCCGAUUUGGAAAAUGACCGUUAAGGUCUUUUUUUCCAAAUGACAUGGUGCUAAAUCCUUCAAAAUGGCAGAUGCAUAAUGUAUAGCAUCCUGCGAUUUUGGCAGAUGAGAA
rnacentral:ncRNA from 1 species